UUUUCAUUUUAGAAAUACAUAACAACACAGUAACAACACAGUAGAGAGAGAUUAGCAUGGCUCUGCGCAAGAAUGACAUGCGAAAUCGUGAAGUAUUUCACUCUUUA